AUCGAAUCACUCGAUCGAAAAAUGGAAUGCUAAUGGAUUUUCAGAAUUAGAAAAAUAUAGCAGAAAAAAUGGUUUCAAUAAUUUACAAUCUAUAUAGUAUGGAUCGAAUGGCCAAUAUUUCUGAUUCAUUAUAAUUGAGUGAAGUGAAAGAAAAGUAACUAGAAAUCGUAGACUACAAAGUGUGCAGAUAGAGAAUAACUAGAAAGACAAGUGUGACUGUAAAUUGAAAUGGUGGGGAGAGUCGCUAAUUGAUUCGACAGAGGUUGUGUAGUCUACGGCUAUCGAAGCGCCCCGAGCGGUCUUCUUCCGCAAAGUAUUCGAUUGAAAAGUUUCGUACGGAACUUGAACCCAUACUUUCGCUUCUUGUUACCGCCUCGAUAGUUUGGGUAACAAGUAACGUCAAAGUGAGCGACAAUGGUGAUUGUCGAUAAGUGAAAACUUGGUGAAAAUUGAUAGAAUUCUCUGAUCGAUGUGCAAUGCAAGUUGAUACAUUUCAACAAAUAGACAAAUGUUUUUUUAAAAUUCAUCGACAACGAAAAAUAAAUUCGAAAAAUCUCGAAUUUCUCUCUCGAUGAUAUUAGCAUAGAUCGAUGCGAAAUAAUGUGAACAGUGUUUGGACAGGGAAGUUUCGAGGAAGUUUCGCAAUGGUUGGAGGGGAUCCGAUGGAAAAAGUUGGGACUUCUGUUCGCGGUACCGGUACUCGAGUAUUUGAUAAACGAUUCCUCUCUCUCUGGUCCGGUUUCUACCAGAAACUUUCGUUUUUCGAGCAGAACACGGAACGAACGGAGAGCCGGUGGUGGUAACUCGACUAGGAAACUCGUGCAUUCGAUUCAUUUGCAUGCGUUCCACGUACACGACACACGACUAGAUUUUCACUUGGAAUUUAAGACUCGAUUUACACAGACGACACCGGUCAUAAUGUCGUUAGAGCUCGGUCACACUACAUUUAAAGUGGUAAUCGAUUUUCUUCAAAAACUCGUCGAGGAUUUGGAGAUUUUUCUUGAGGACGUGAUACGUUUUCAGAGUCGGAAUUACAAAAUAUUUAAACUAUUAAUAUUCAAUUUAAGCAUUAAUUUUUCUUUGAAUUAAUUAAUUUCAAAUUUCACUUCAAGUUCGCGUAUGUGAAAUUUGCAAUUUAUUUCCAUACGAUCCAAUCGAGUAUUCGAAAUGUGUACACGAAAGUGUGUGAAUUACAACAUAUCCACGGGAUAAGAAAUUGCGUUAAAAAAAGGAGGAUUAGACUUUGCUUUAGACGUUGAAAUAUUCAAUUUUCAUGAAACAAUCCUCUAACAUUUUUUCCAAUUUCAUCCGCCAUUUCGAGGCAAGGUUAUACCGGCUCGAAUUAAUCAUCACGAAAGAGGAUUGGAUAAAAAUCUCAUCCUCUCUACCUAUGGAUCGCUGGUGUAAAUCAUAUUUCUUUAUAUGUACGUCAUACGUAAGAGGACGAGAUCAACUUUGGAUUUAAACGAAAAGUAUGGAUAAGGAAAAGAAGCUUCAUUGAAAAAUAAGUCCACAAUAAAACGAAAUAAAUAUUACUCACAGAAUUUUCAUUUUAUGAAAAAUCAGCAGCUCGUAAAAUCCAAUAGAAACAGAUACAUCGAUGAAAGUUAUUUCUAGUCAAAUGCAAUUUAGGCUAGGGGCCGGAAGCAAGCAGUGGCGGAUGAGCGUUUGCGAUGUAGAGGUAUCCGUCUAAUUGGCUAGACGUUGACGGGUCAGUACACACCAUAUCCGGUUCUCAGCCGAAGCUCAAAGCCUGGAUAUAUACCGAUAAUCGAAUUAAGAGUGGGUGGAGUGUCAAAAGUGUAACGAAUGAACCAUUGAAUGGAGUUGAAACUGUCGAAAACACUUUUCCAGCAUUGACCCAAUAUACUUUUCAACGGGGGAUCAGAAAUUUUCGGUUGGACGGGAAUAUACACGAAUAUUCGGAAACUUGCUUUUUCAAAUGUUUUUUCCCCUCUCCUCGUUUUUUUUUUUUUGCAAUUUUUUUUAUAACCGUGAUAGAAUAUCUGAAAUUAACGGAGUGUGCACGAUCAUUCGUUUGAAUCCAACAAUGUUGUUUGUUUAUACUAAAAAUUUGUGGAAACGUGGAAUCACAAAUAAAUUCAUUUGUAUUUCUCGCGUAUAACUUUUAAAAAGAAAUUAAAAAUUUUAUUAUCAAAAUUUAUUUUAAAAAAAAAAUCAUUGAAGUUCUUUUUUUUUUGUUUCAUCCCGAUAUCUUAAUCAAUUAACGAGAUAUAAGAAAUCGAACUGUCCAUAGCGAUUAAGACACUAGUGAAGAGAGAAUCAGCGAUCUAGUAAUUUAUAUUUUUUCCUAGAAAUGUAUCUUCUUAGAAUCGCGUUUGUCACUUGUCUGAAGUCAAUGAGACGAGUGCAAGUGAUAAGAACAGAGAUAGGUAAAUGAUUAAAAAUCUUUUUCUUUACACGACGAUAUCUACAGAACCGGAAGUUCUAUUGGGAUGAACGAAAAUGCAUUUUAAAAAGCAAGAAUCCACGCUUCAUCCUUCGCUAUUCUUGGAGUUACAAUGAUUUAAAGAUUAUUUAAAGAUUUUCCAAUCUUGAUCGGAUUUCGAAGAUGAACAAUUAAAAAUUAUCUCUUCUUUACACUACGAUAUCUCCGGAACCGGAAAUCAUAUCAGGAUAAUUGAAAAUGCGUUUUAAAGAGCAAAGUUUCAUCCCUCUAACGAUCCUUCACUCAUCGACCGGAAGUCACUAUCCCCGGAGUUACAACGGAGUUCAAAGUUUUCUUAAUUUUAAUAGAAUUUAAUCGAAUUUUAAGCUAAAUUACGCGACUUUACCUCCAAACACAUUUCCUAUUCAUCAUUCAUCCUUAUGUCACUCUAUUUCCCAUCGCUCUUCGUUCUCCCCAAUAAAAUAUCAUUACUCCCACGAUACGGCAGAAAAUUCCUCGAGAGUUUCUCGAAUUAAUUUCUCGAUCGCGUUGGUGAGCAAAAGUAAUUCGGAGUGAAAGGAAUUCUCUCGUUCCACGGCCGCCAAUUAUCCGGAAGUUUUCCUUUCGGCCGGCCUCCCUCGUCGAUAUCAUCCUAAUUGCUAUCGAGCGCCUUGGUAAUCCAUUAGCGGGCCAGAGAUGGCCUAGAUCGCCGGCCUUGGAAGCUUCGCCACGGCCUAUCCUCCUCCUGCCCUAUCUUCCUUUCCACAGAAGAAUCUAUUCGCCCCCCGAUUCUAUCUACUCACGCUACAUUUGAUGUGGGAAUCGCGUUGCUUUGCAUCCGCGAG